rnacentral:rRNA from 1 species
UACGUAGGCAGCGAGCGUUGUUCGGAGUUACUGGGCGUAAAGCGUGCGUAGGCGGUGUCUUAAGUUUGUUGUGAAAUCUCCCGGCUUAACCGGGAGGGUGCGGCGAAUACUGAGAUGCUGGAGUGCCGGAGAGGUAAGCGGAAUUCCUGGUGUAGCGGUGAAAUGCGUAGAGAUCCGGAAGAACACCGGUGGCGAAGGCGGUCUGCUGGGCAGUAGCUGACACUGAGGCGCGACAGCGUGGGGAGCAAACAGG